UUUUGAGGUGUCUAGGAAUUGUGGAUAUGUAGUAUGUACAAUUCAUACUGAUGUGCACCAGGUGAAAGGUUUUCCAGGACUAUUGAAUUGUGAGAAACUUCGAUCGCUGGGAUAGGUCUCUAUCUCUAUGUUUUAUGCGGCGCUUGGAGAGGCAAAACCAUUCAGGAAUGAAGAAGAUGCAGUGAGAUGGCAAGCCACCAGGAAAGGCAAUAAGACAUGCAGAGAUGGAAGCUCUUGAUGUCCUUCAGGAAUAGUGGCAGAUGACUGCAUUUUCAGCUACAGAAGUUGCAGAGAAGUUUUCAGCAUGCUCCCUUUAUGUGACAUGUGAACCAUGCAUAUGUGUGCAGCAGCAUUAUUGAUCAUUGGUAUAAAGGAAGUAUAUUAUGGCUGUGCAAAUGAUAAAUUUGGAGGCUGUGGCUCAAUACUGGCAUUGCAUUCAAGUAGCUCCAAGGCAUGCAUUUCUGAACUUGCUUUUGUUGCUGAUUUCAUAGCUACUUAGCUCUACUUUGUAAUUGUGACGUAUGAUGAUUGACAACUAAAGCUUACUGGAGGUCUUCCUUAUGUUGAUUACUGAUGGAUGUGAUUUUGUAGUGGUUCUGUUUGUUGUCACUAUUUAAAUAUUGCAACACAUAACCAUGAAAAUAAAUGGAGGUUUAUGGAACUAAUUUUCCAUCUUUUCUGUCCUUAAGUGGAGUUUCUGGAAGCGUCAAGAAUUCAAGUAUAUAUUAAUUCUAAAUUUCUCUGCUUUGUUUCCUUUUCCUUGAA